CCCUUAGAUGUUCUGGGCUGCACGCGUGUUACAAUCGGGAGUACAACAAGAUUGCAAAUCCUAGUGGAUGAGUGGUUCUUCGAAAUUUUCUGAAGACUGGGAUAGUUGAUUGAAAUUAUUCAACUCGAACGAGGAAUUCCUUGUAACUGUAAUUCAUUAUAUUGUAAUGAAUACGUCCCUGCCCUUUGUACACACCGCCCGUCGCUCCUACCGAUUGAACGAUCCGGUGAAUUAUUUGGAGUAGCUCUGGAAGUUGCAGAACUUCCUAUGUCACGAAAUUUUGUAAACCUUAUCGUUUAGAGGAAGGAAAAGUCGUAACA
rnacentral:rRNA from 1 species